GACGAACGCUGGCGGCGUGCCUAAUACAUGCAAGUCGAACGCAGUGGGGACGGGUGCGUAACACGUGGGUAACCUCCCUUCAGAGGGGAUAACACUUUGGAACAGGUGCUAAACCGCUACUGAUGGAUGAACCCGCGGUGCAUUAGCUAGUUGGUGAGGUAACGGCUCACCAAGGCCACGAUGCAUAGCCUGUCUGAGAGUGUGAUCGGCCAAACUGGGACUGAGACACGGCCCAAGCUCCUACGUGAGGCAGCAGCAGGGAAUCUUCGGCAAGUGACGAAAGCCGGACCGAGCAAAGCCGCGUGAGUGAAGAAGGUUUUCGGGUAGGAAAACUCUGUUGUUAGAGAAGCGGUAUCUAACCAGAAAGCCACGGCUAACUACGUGCCAGCAGCCGCGGUAAUAC
rnacentral:rRNA from 1 species